rnacentral:misc_RNA from 1 species
AGAGCAACUUAUAAUUUGAUCUUAGUUUUGUAAAAAGAUAAAAUACACACAAGAAUAACAAACAUGCCGCUAUAUAUAACAUAUUGGACAAAGCCUUGCAUUGACCAUGCUUGGAAUGUUCCAGUUUAUCAACCAAGAAAUCAACUCAAAAUAUUGGAAAUCAAUUAAAUUGCACUGGUGAUGAUACUUUACAUGACCUGAAAACUAGAAAUGAACACUUUUUUGCCCUGAAAUUUAUCAUUACUCAGUGCUGAGGAUUCAACAUUUUGGCUACAAAAUCAUGUUUUCACUUGACAUUUGGUACAAGCGAGAGACUUUAUGCUACUCUUGGGACAGGAAUGCUUUCUGCAGCUGGCAAUGUCACUGAGCGCAACAGCUCCAAGGAGAAAACAAGCCCAAGAAAAUGAGAAAGAAUGGUGUUUGCUGAUGCCUGCGUAAGACCAACCAAAUGAUGAUGGAAGACUAUCAAAUGAUUAGGCUGGACUGUUAAUCGCUAUCUCUAUAAUAAGUUAUAGCAGUUGUUGUGUCGUGCCCUUGAUAUAACAUUUUGGACCAUCCCACUAGUUGACUCUUCAUUGUGAUGUGAAUUCUUUAAUCAAAACUGAUUUCCUGGUUUUAUAUUUAGUUUAUUUUGCUUGGACUAAGGUGCAAAGGAUUGAAUGCAUAUCCAUGUAAAACGAGGGUACAUUCAACAUUUUCAUAGUUCGUCCUAUAUUUGGAGGAUUAUAACAUCGUACCGAUAUCCAAUCUAGUAGUCCAUUACGUAUACAGAGAUAAAGCAAAAAAUCAGAUAUGAAUGAGUACCUGCACCAAGAAUACAUCCAAUGCAAGAACUGGAUUGUAACCAGGAGAGAUUCCCUGGUAAUAAGGAUUUGCUGAGGAAGUAAGAGCCUUUGCUACUAGCAAUCCAACUGUUGCUUGCAUGCCAAGAAUAGCAGCACCCAUUCCUAACAGAUUCACAACUAUGCCAUUUUUCAAGCCUUUCACAACAUCAGCACGAGGUGGUGCCUGAAACCAUACACAAUCAAUGGUUAUAAGAAGCUUAAGAGAAUCCCAUACAAUGAUGCAUGUAAAUCUAUUUCAGUCAUGUCAAGAAGGCUACUGUUUAUUUCAGUCAUGUCAAGAAGGCUACUGUUUACUGCAAUGAUAAAGUUUAUUGGCUUGAUAAUAAGUGUACGAUGAACUGAUCAAAGCAAAAGCCGAAUUUCACAUAAAAAAAGCAACUGAACAAACGGAUUUAAUAAUUGAACCGAACGAUUUCGAUUCGGUUCAAAACCAUUGGUUUGCUCUCAAACACCCAAUUUCUUCCCUAAAUAGCAAACCCAGCAAAUAAAUUACACAAACCGAAAAGCAAAUCCAAUUCCACAGCAAAUAUAAUUACACAAAUCAUUAACAACUUAACACAACAACAGUAAUUUUACAGCAAAUCAAAGCUAUUCAUGCAACCAUUCUAUACAAAUCACCCAUUCUAUACAGAUUUCAAGUACACAAAUUACAAAUAUUUUAUUCACGCAACAGCAAACCAAUUGAUGCCCUCGAUUCAAAGCCCAAAAAGGAAAAGUUAAGAAUGUCACUUGAAAAGUUUCUAGGCAACGAUACCCAGAUUAUCAAAUUCAAAUGACACUUUUGACUUGCCCUUUUAGGAUUUAAGGGUGAAGAUGAUGCAUGCAUGAAGACAGUGGUGAUGGUGAUGAGAAGAAAAAGAAGAACAAGAAUAAGAUGGUGGUGAGAAAUCGAUUUGGUUCCAUUUUGUCUUUUAAUUUUUUUACUAAAGUAACUGAACCAAACCAAAAAA